AUACGGAGGAUCCGAGCGUUAUCCGGAUUUAUUGGGUUUAAAGGGAGCGCAGGCGGAGAUGCAAGCGUGACGUCAAAUUUCGGGGCUCAACCCCGUCUCGCGUCGCGAACUGCGUCCCUUGGUUGCGGGAAGGGGAGGCGGAACUCGUGGUGUAGCGGUGGAAUGCAUAGAUAUCACGAAGAACUCCGAUCGCGAAGGCAGCCUUCCGGCCCGUCAACGACGCUCAUGCUCGAAGGUGCGGGUAUCAAACAGGAUUAGAUACCCUGGUAGUCCGCACAGUAAACGAUGGACACCCGCGGUUUGGCCUGUAUGGCUGAGCCGCCAAGCGAAAGCGUUAAGUGUCCCACCUGGGGAGUACGCCGGCAACGGUGAAACUCAAAUGAAUUGACGGGG
rnacentral:rRNA from 1 species